rnacentral:rRNA from 1 species
UUCGCAAUGCCCGAAAGGGUGACGAAGCGACGCCGCGUGCGGGAAGAAGGCCUUCGGGUUGUAAACCGCUGUCGGGAGUUAAGAAAUGUAAGGAUGUUAAUAGCAUCUUUGCUUGACUAAGGCUCCGGAGGAAGCCACGGCUAACUCUGUGCCAGCAGCCGCGGUAAUACAGAGGCGGCAAGCGUUGUUCGGAAUUAUUAGGCGUAAAGAGCACGUAGGCGGCUAUGUAAGUCGGUUGUGAAAGCCUUCCGCUCAACGGGAGAACAGCAUCCGAUACUGCAUGGCUUGAGUGCGGGAGGGGAGAGUGGAACUUCUGGUGGAGCGGUGAAAUGCGUAGAUAUCAGAAGGAACGCCGGCUGCGAAAGCGGCUCUCUGGCCCAUAACUGACGCUGAGUGUGCGAAAGCUAGGGGAGCAAACGGGAUUAGAUACCCCGGUAGUCCUAGCCGUAAACGAUGGGCACUAAGUAGAGGGGUUUU